rnacentral:tRNA from 1 species
UCCCUAGUAGCUCAGCUGGUAAAGAAUUUGCCUGCCAUGCAGGAGACCCUGGUUCGAUUCCUGGGUCGGGAA